GGCUCAGUGGUAGAGCACCUGCUUUGCAUGCAGGAGGUACCAAGUUCAAUUCCUGGCGUCUCCA